rnacentral:rRNA from 1 species
AGAGUUUGAUCAUGGCUCAGAUUGAACGCUGGCGGCAUGCCUUACACAUGCAAGUCGAACGGCAGCGCGGGGGCAACCCUGGCGGCGAGUGGCGAACGGGUGAGUAAUACAUCGGAACGUGUCCUGGAGUGGGGGAUAGCUCGGCGAAAGCCGGAUUAAUACCGCAUACGCUCUAAGGAGGAAAGCGGGGGAUCUUCGGACCUCGCGCUCAAGGGGCGGCCGAUGGCGGAUUAGCUAGUUGGUGGGGUAAAGGCCUACCAAGGCGACGAUCCGUAGCUGGUCUGAGAGGACGACCAGCCACACUGGGACUGAGACACGGCCCAGACCCCUACGGGAGGCAGCAGUGGGGAAUUUUGGACAAUGGGGGAAACCCUGAUCCAGCAAUGCCGCGUGUGUGAAGAAGGCCUUCGGGUUGUAAAGCACUUUUGUUCGGGAAGAAAUCCUUCGGGCUAAUACCUUGAGGGGAUGACGGUACCGGAAGAAUAAGCACCGGCUAACUACGUGCCAGCAGCCGCGGUAAUACGUAGGGUGCGAGCGUUAAUCGGAAUUACUGGGCGUAAAGCGUGCGCAGGCGGUCCGCUAAGACCGAUGUGAAAUCCCCGGGCUUAACCUGGGAACUGCAUUGGUGACUGGCGGGCUAGAGUAUGGCAGAGGGGGGUAGAAUUCCACGUAGCAGUGAAAUGCGUAGAGAUGUGGAGGAAUACCGAUGGCGAAGGCAGCCCCCUGGGCCAAUACUGACGCUCAUGCACGAAAGCGUGGGGAGCAAACAGGAUUAGAUACCCUAGUAGUCC